GUCAUUUACUGCUGACGUUUCAGAGGGAAAGCUUGAGAAAGUGAUCCAUGAACCAUCGACACUACAGGUCACUCCAAGAACUGAAACUGUAAUGCAUGUAAAGACUGUGUAUGGAUAAAAGCAUAUGAUAGAAGGAAAUGUGUGAAAAUGAUAACCAAGACAAAAAUCUUCUGUUAAAAUAAAAAAUCUAAAU